GGUCCUGACUAACUCAACUGGUAGAGCGUGGUAUUAGUAACAUCGUCAGGGUUGGAGGUUCGAUUCCCUUUGGGACCA